AGAGUUUGAUCCUGGCUCAGGACGAACGUUGGCGGCGUGCCUAACACAUGCAAGUCAAGGGUAGCAAUACACUGGCGCACGGGUGAGUAACGCGUAGAUGAUCUGCCCCUUUCAUCGGGAUAACUCAGGGAAACUUGGGCUAAUACCGGAUGUGGCAACAAUGUUGUCAAAGGAUUUCGGUCUGGAGAGGGAUGAGUCUGCGUCCGAUUAGCUAGUUGGUUUGGUAACGGCAAACCAAGGCGAUGAUCGGUAACUGGUCUUAGAGGACGAUCAGUCACACUGGAACUGAGACACGGUCCAGACUCCUACGGGAGGCAGCAGUGAGGAAUCUUGGUCAAUGGGGGCAACCCUGACCCAGCGACGCCGCGUGAGGGAUGACAGGGCUUUGCUCUGUAAACCUCUGUCGAGUGGGAAAAAAGGGAGCUUUAGGCUUCUGGGCUUGUACCACUGGAGGAAGCACCGGCUAACUACGUGCCAGCAGCCGCGGUAAUACGUAGGGUGCGAACGUUGUCCGGAAUUACUGGGUGUAAAGGGUGCACAGGCGGCUUGAUGCGUCAGGGGUUAAAUCCCACUGCUCAACAGUGGAGGUGCCUUUGAUACGGUCAGGCUUGAGAGCAAGAGAGGAUGAUAGAAUUCCUGGUGUAGCGGUGAAAUGCGUAGAUAUCAGGAGGAAUACCAGUGGCGUAGGCGGUCAUCCGGCUUGUAUCUGACGCUUAAGCACGAAAGCGUGGGUAGCGAACAGGAUUAGAUACCCUGGUAGUCCACGCCCUAAACGAUGUAUGCUUGGUGUUGUGAGCAUAGGCUCUCAGUGCCGUAGGUAACCCGUUAAGCAUACCACCUGGGGAGUACGAUCGCAAGGUUGAAACUCAAAGGAAUUGACGGGGGCCC
rnacentral:rRNA from 1 species